rnacentral:tRNA from 1 species
AUGUACUAGUACAUACUACAUGUACUACUACGACUAGUACAUAGGUAUUAGUGCUACUCUAGCAGUAUGUAC